rnacentral:rRNA from 1 species
UACGGAGGGGGCUAGCGUUGUUCGGAAUUACUGGGCGUAAAGCGCGCGUAGGCGGACCUGCAAGUCGGGGGUGAAAGCCCGAGGCUCAACCUCGGAACUGCCUUCGAUACUGCGGGUCUCGAGUCCGGGAGAGGUGAGUGGAAUUCCUAGUGUAGAGGUGAAAUUCGUAGAUAUUAGGAAGAACACCAGUGGCGAAGGCGACUUACUGGACUGUAACUGACGCUGAGGCAUGAAAGCGUGGGGAGCAAACAGG